rnacentral:rRNA from 1 species
GACGAACGCUGGCGGCGUGCUUAACACAUGCAAGUCGAACGAAGUGGCGAACGGGUGAGUAAUACGUGGGUAACCUGCCCUCCUUUUUGGGAUAAGCCUUGGAAACGGGGUCUAAUACCGAAUAAAGGGGGAUGGGCUCGCGGCGUAUCAGCUUGUUGGUGGGGUUAGGGCCUACCAAGGCGGUGACGGGUAGCCGGCCUGAGAGGGUGACAGGCAGGAUUGGGAAUGAGAUAGGGCCCAGACUCCUACGGGAGGGGGCAGUGGGGGAUAUGGCACAAUGGACGACAGCCUGAUGCGGCUGCGCCGCGUGGGGGAUGAAGGCUUACGGGUUUUAAACCUCUGUCGCUAUAGAACGGGUAGGUGGAGAAGAAGCGCCGGCUAACUACGUGCCAGCCGCCGCGGUAAUAC